GACGAACGCUGGCGGCGUGCCUAAUACAUGCAAGUUGAGCGCUGAAGGUUGGUACUUGUACCGACUGGAUGAGCAGCGAACGGGUGAGUAACGCGUGGGGAAUCUGCCUUUGAGCGGGGGACAACAUUUGGAAACGAAUGCUAAUACCGCAUAAAAACUUUAAACACAAGUUUUAAGUUUGAAAGAUGCAAUUGCAUCACUCAAAGAUGAUCCCGCGUUGUAUUAGCUAGUUGGUGAGGUAAAGGCUCACCAAGGCGAUGAUACAUAGCCGACCUGAGAGGGUGCUCGGCCACAUUGGGACUGAGACACGGCCCAAACUCCUACGGGAGGCAGCAGUAGCGAAUCUUCGGCAAUGGACGAAAGUCUGACCGAGCAACGCCGCGUGAGUGAAGAAGGUUUUCGGAUCGUAAAACUCUGUUGGUAGAGAAGAACGUUGGUGAGAGUGGAAAGCUCAUCAAGUGACGGUAACUACACAGAAAGGGACGGCUAACUACGUG
rnacentral:rRNA from 1 species